AGUGGGUAAUUGGCAGCUGUGCUCCAUAAAAAGGAAGCGCGGCUAUCCAGGGCAGACGUCUGCUUUGUCCAGGGACGACUCUGACCGACCUAUCGCCUAUCCCCGACGUUUGGCUGUAGUUUGUUCCACCAUUUGCUCCAGUAACAGAAGUCGCUGCUAAACUACUGGCUGGAUAUUCUCACGGCUGCUCUUUCCCCCGGUGUGCUCAUCAAUUCCAGCUUAGCAACAUCACAGAGUGUUGCGUUGUCCGGGCUCCCUACAUCUGACGUUAGCUGUUGCAUGGAUCUGUAUGGUAUCCUGAUGUGGUGACGGCCUUGCUGUUUUGUUCCUGUUUGGGGUUUGCUGUGUGGAGCGCCUUCCGCUUCUCUCUGUGGCCUUCCAUCGCUGCGUCUCUGAUGCAUGAUUGCUAGCUAACCUGGUGGUGGCUAUCUGCUUGGGCCUGUUUAGUGCGGACGUGCGUGUUUGUUGCAUGAGUGUGCAUGUGUGGGAGUUUGGUUUGCUUGCUGCUCUAUUGAUGCUCUGUGCUUUUCUCUAUAUUUUGUUUUGUCUUAUUUGUACUCAUUUGUUUUUGUUUGUUUUCUACUGCAUGUACUGUCAAGUGGGCUUUCCCUGUGAAUGUUGCUUGUCUCUCCUGCUGGGGGCUGCAUUGGGCGCAUGUUGGAGGGUGUAUUCUCCUCUGGUGGUGUCCAUCCCUUAUUGUGCUGUGUUAAUUAGUUUAGAUAAGUCACCUUUUUUUUUGAUUUGCAGUGUGGUUUGAAUCACAGAUUUCGCCUCAGAGGCUUUGACAUCUGCCCUCUACGGUUGUCACAGCCAGGACAGGUUCCCAAACGAGCAAUCAGUCCAACUUAACCACACCUGCCCGUUCACUCUCCCCUGCUUAUUAGUUACUCACCCCAACCAAUCAGUCUCCACUGCUCAUUCUCUUCCCUCCUGAUUGGUGAUCACUUUCACCUGCACUUCAUUGAACCACAGACUACUUAAUCUCCAUUCACCCAGCACUCGGUCUCUGGCCUCAUCAUCGGAUGCUACAGAACUCCAGGUCACUCUGUUCCUUGAAAUCUGUUCUGAACUGCUAUUGAAGCUGAAUCUCCUAAGUUUGCCUUUUGGAUCUCCUGUGUUCUCAGCGUGUGGUAUGACACUUCUGAACUUUUGCCAGUAGGCCAUGUUUUCGUGAAAACCCUGGAUUCUGCCUGUGAUGUUCUGAUGCCUGUAAAUAAAUCUCACUCUGCUUGACUUCU